rnacentral:rRNA from 1 species
UACGUAGGGUGCAAGCGUUAAUCGGAAUUACUGGGCGUAAAGCGUGCGUAGGCGGUUGCGCAAGACAGGUGUGAAAUCCCCGGGCUUAACCUGGGAAUUGCACUUGUGACUGUGCGGCUGGAGUGCGGCAGAGGGGGAUGGAAUUCCGCGUGUAGCAGUGAAAUGCGUAGAUAUACGGAGGAACACCUGCGGCGAAGGCGGGUAGCUGGGCCAACACUGACGCUGAGACGCGAAAGCUAGGGGAGCAAACGGG